rnacentral:rRNA from 1 species
UACGUAGGCAGCGAGCGUUGUUCGGAGUUACUGGGCGUAAAGGGUGUGUAGGCGGUUCUUUAAGUUUGGUGUGAAAUCUCCCGGCUCAACUGGGAGGGUGCGCCGAAUACUGAGGGACUAGAGUACGGGAUAGGAAAGUGGAAUUCCUGGUGUAGCGGUGAAAUGCGUAGAUAUCAGGAGGAACACCGGUGGUGUAGACGGCUUUCUGGACCGUAACUGACGCUGAGACACGAAAGCGUGGGUAGCAAACAGG